CCUACGGGAGGCAGCAGUGGGGAAUAUUGGACAAUGGGCGAAAGCCUGAUCCAGCAAUGCCGCGUGAGUGAUGAAGGCCUUAGGGUUGUAAAGCUCUUUUACCAGGGAUGAUAAUGACAGUACCUGGAGAAUAAGCCCCGGCUAACUCCGCG
rnacentral:rRNA from 1 species